rnacentral:lncRNA from 1 species
UGGGCUUCUUGGGCUCCGGGGGCGGAACCUUGUCGACGGUGACGGUGAGCACCCCGUCGCGGCACACGGCGGUGAUGGCGUCGACGUUGGCGUCCUCGGGGAGCACGAACCUCCGCAUGAGCUUCCCCAUCCUCCGCUCCAUCCGCAGGUACUUGGCCCCCUCCUUCUCCUCUUCGUCUCCUCCUCCUCCUCCUCUCUUCCUCUCGCCGCUGAUGACGAGGACGCGGCCCUCCUCGACCUCGACCUUGAUCUCCCCCGAUUUCACCCCGGGCAUGUCCACCACGAACACGUAGGCGUUGGGCAGCUCCUUCACGUCCGCGGGGGUCGACGCCAUUGCCCUCGCGUCGCGCACGUACUUCCGCGUCGGCGCGUUGAAGGUCUUCUCCGUCUCCUCCGGGAUCUCCAUCAGCUGCUGCAGCGUCGAGAGCAGCGGGUUCUCCAGCCCAAACACGC